AGAGCUCGUAGGUGGUUUGUCGCGUUGUUCGUGAAAUCUCACGGCUUAACUGUGAGCGUGCGGGCGAUACGGGCAGACUUGAGUACUUCAGGGGAGACUGGAAUUCCUGGUGUAGCGGUGGAAUGCGCAGAUAUCAGGAGGAACACCGGUGGCGAAGGCGGGUCUCUGGGCAGUAACUGACGCUGAGGAGCGAAAGCGUGGGGAGCGAACAGGAUUAGAUACCCUGGUAGUCCACGCCGUAAACGGUGGGUACUAGGUGUGGGUUUCCUUCCUUGGGAUCCGUGCCGUAGCUAACGCAUUAAGUACCCCGCCUGGGGAGUACGGCCGCAAGGCUAAAACUCAAAGAAAUUGACGGGGGCCCGCACAAGCGGCGGAGCAUGUGGAUUAAUUCGAUGCAACGCGAAGAACCUUACCUGGGUUUGACAUGCACAGGACGCCGGCAGAGAUGUCGGUUCCCUUGUGGCCUGUGUGCAGGUGGUGCAUGGCUGUCGUCAGCUCGUGUCGUGAGAUGUUGGGUUAAGUCCCGCAACGAGCGCAACCCUUGUCUCAUGUUGCCAGCGGGUAAUGCCGGGGACUCGUGAGAGACUGCCGGGGUCAACUCGGAGGAAGGUGGGGAUGACGUCAAGUCAUCAUGCCCCUUAUGUCCAGGGCUUCACACAUGCUACAAUGGCCGGUACAAAGGGCUGCGAUGCCGCGAGGUUAAGCGAAUCCUUUUAAAGCCGGUCUCAGUUCGGAUCGGGGUCUGCAACUCGACCCCGUGAAGUCGGAGU
rnacentral:rRNA from 1 species